AGAAGUACUAAAAAAAAUUUACUAUUUAACACCAAAGUGAUCCAACAAUUUACCAGUCACCACAUUAUUAAUUGUGAUUUGAUGUAACUGAAUAUGAUAAUUGAAGGAAUCAUUUUCUAUCUUUUUGUACUUUUUUACGCUACUCCUUCACACAGCGUUUCCACUGACUAAUCAAAUCAAAAACUCAAACUAACAAAAAUUUACUAUUUAACUCUAAAUUGAUCCACACAUUUACCAGAUCAUUGAAGGCAAUUAAAUAAACAAACAAGCAACAAGAAACGGAAACCACCGAGUAACGUCGGAGUCAAACUUUUGCUUGCACAUAAAAACCAGAAUCAAAAUAUCGAUCUGUGAACAAAAACAAUGAAACAAACAGCAAUGUAAAGUAAAUAAUUUCAAAAAAUGUGGAGAUAGGAAAGGACUUACCAGUGUUCUUAGAGUUCAGAUCUGAGCU
rnacentral:lncRNA from 1 species